rnacentral:tRNA from 14 species
UGGGCUAGUGGUUAGCGUCGCUACCUGCUGGUCCAGAGGUCGUGGGUUCGAUUCCUGC